UACGAAGGGGGCUAGCGUUGUUCGGAAUUACUGGGCGUAAAGGGCGCGUAGGCGGCCGAGCAAGUUAGAUGUGAAAGUCCUGGGCUUAACCUGGGGACUGCAUUUGAUACUGCUUGGCUUGAGUUCGGGAGAGGAUAGCGGAAUUCCCAGUGUAGAGGUGAAAUUCGUAGAUAUUGGGAAGAACACCGGUGGCGAAGGCGGCUAUCUGGACGGUUUCUGACGCUAAGACGCGAAAGCGUGGGGAGCAAACAGG
rnacentral:rRNA from 1 species